GCAUAAUAAUUUGCCUCUUAAUUAGAGGCUAGUAUGAAUGGACUUAUGAAAAUAUAUCUGUCUCUUUUAUAUUUAUAAAAAUUGAUCUACAGGUGAAAAAUCCUGUAUAUUUUUAAAGGACAAAAAGACCCUAUUGAGCUUUAUUUUUAUAAAAAUAAUUAUGAAUAAAUCACUUAAUAUUACUUUAAUAAAUUCUGUUGGGGCGACACAGGAACAUCUUUAACUUCCUUUAUUCAAAAGACACACAAAUCUAAUCAUAGAUCCUUAAUAAAGAUCAAAGAAAAAAGCUACCAUAGGGAUAACAGGCUAAUCAUUUCAGAGAGUCCAAAUUGACGAAAUGGG
rnacentral:rRNA from 1 species